AGCAAAAGGAGCUUCCAUUUCUCAAGUUCCCUGGUAGGGAAGAAAUUAGUAGGAAAGCCCUUGGAGCAACCUCACACUUGUUUCCCAGAGCUGGAACUGUGCAGAGCAGACAAGGAACAUCAUCUUACCUGAACUCUUUUAUGGUACUCCUGAGCAUUUCAGGAGAGGAAAGAAGCCAGCAGGCACCUAGGAAAGAGUGUAAGAACAGGGCAAGCACAGGGACAGUUCCUUGGACUACAUUCCCAAACACCAAGAAUUUGCAGCCCGGUACAUGACUGAGCCAGAGCCUUGGGAAAAGUGUCUAUUUAAACUUACAUUUGAAAAUUCAAAUAACAGUGAUAAACUACUGAAGAUCAUCAGCUUCAUGCCCUGUCAUACAGUGUCAAACAUGCUAUAUAUGCUACUUCAUCUCUAUACAGCCAAAUCAGAUUUCUGGGAAGAAAAAAAA